rnacentral:rRNA from 1 species
CUGGCUCAGGAUGAACGCUGGCGGCGUGCCUAAUACAUGCAAGUCGAACGCACAGCGAAAGGUGCUUGCACCUUUCAAGUGAGUGGCGAACGGGUGAGUAACACGUGGACAACCUGCCUCAAGGCUGGGGAUAACAUUUGGAAACAGAUGCUAAUACCGAAUAAAACUUAGUGUCGCAUGACACAAAGUUAAAAGGCGCUUCGGCGUCACCUAGAGAUGGAUCCGCGGUGCAUUAGUUAGUUGGUGGGGUAAAGGCCUACCAAGACAAUGAUGCAUAGCCGAGUUGAGAGACUGAUCGGCCACAUUGGGACUGAGACACGGCCCAAACUCCUACGGGAGGCUGCAGUAGGGAAUCUUCCACAAUGGGCGAAAGCCUGAUGGAGCAACGCCGCGUGUGUGAUGAAGGCUUUCGGGUCGUAAAGCACUGUUGUAUGGGAAGAACAGCUAGAAUAGGAAAUGAUUUUAGUUUGACGGUACCAUACCAGAAAGGGACGGCUAAAUACGUGCCAGCAGCCGCGGUAAUACGUAUGUCCCGAGCGUUAUCCGGAUUUAUUGGGCGUAAAGCGAGCGCAGACGGUUUAUUAAGUCUGAUGUGAAAGCCCGGAGCUCAACUCCGGAAUG